GACGAACGCUGGCGGCGUGCUUAACACAUGCAAGUCGAGCGGUAAGGCCCUUUCGGGGGUACACGAGCGGCGAACGGGUGAGUAACACGUGGGUGACCUGCCUCUAGCUCUGGGAUAAGCCCGGGAAACUGGGUCUAAUACUGGAUAUGACUCCAUGACGCAUGUUGUGGGGUGAAAGCCUUGUGCGGCUAGAGAUGGGCCCGCGGCCUAUCAGCUUGUUGGUGGGGUGAUGGCCUACCAAGGCGACGACGGGUAGCCGGCCUGAGAGGCGACCGGCCACACUGGGACUGAGACACGGCCCAGACUCCUACGGGAGGCAGCAGUGGGGAAUCUUGCGCAAUGGGCGAAAGCCUGACGCAGCGACGCCGCGUGA
rnacentral:rRNA from 1 species